CCUACGGGCGGCAGCAGUGAGGAAUAUUGGUCAAUGGUCGGAAGCCUGAACCAGCCAAGCCGCGUGCGGGAUGACGGUCCUACGGGUUGUAAACCUCUUUUAUCCGGGAAUAAAGCGCGGUACGUGUCCCCCUUUGCGUGUACCUUAUGAAUAAGGACCGGCUAAAUCCGUGCCAGCAGCCGCGGUAAUACGGAAGGUCCGGGCGUUAUCCGGAUUUAUUGGGGUUAAAGGGUGCGUAGGCGGGCUGUUAAGCGAGGUGUGAAAUGUCCGGGCUCAACCCCGGCCCUGCAGUGGAAACUGGCAGGCUUGAGUGGGAGAGAAGUAGGCGGAAUUCGGGGUGUAGCGGUGAAAUGCGUAGAUAUGACGAAGAACCCCGAUUGCGAAGGCAGCUUGCUGGAGCGAAACUGACGCUGAUGCACGAAAGCGUGGGUAUCGAACAGGAUUAGAUACCCCAGUAGUC
rnacentral:rRNA from 1 species